AGAGUUUGAUCCUGGCUCAGGACGAACGCUGGCGGCGUGCUUAACACAUGCAAGUCGAACGGAAAGGCCCUUUCGGGGGUACUCGAGUGGCGAACGGGUGAGUAACACGUGGGUGAUCUGCCCUGCACUUUGGGAUAAGCCUGGGAAACUGGGUCUAAUACCGGAUAUACCUCAUGGACUGCAUGGUUUGUGGGGGAAAGCUUUUGCGGUGUGGGAUGGGCCCGCGGCCUAUCAGCUUGUUGGUGGGGUGAUGGCCUACCAAGGCGACGACGGGUAGCCGGCCUGAGAGGGUGACCGGCCACACUGGGACUGAGAUACGGCCCAGACUCCUACGGGAGGCAGCAGUGGGGAAUAUUGCACAAUGGGCGCAAGCCUGAUGCAGCGACGCCGCGUGAGGGAUGACGGCCUUCGGGUUGUAAACCUCUUUCAGCAGGGACGAAGCGCAAGUGACGGUACCUGUAGAAGAAGGACCGGCCAACUACGUGCCAGCAGCCGCGGUAAUACGUAGGGUCCGAGCGUUGUCCGGAAUUACUGGGCGUAAAGAGCUCGUAGGUGGUUUGUCGCGUUGUUCGUGAAAACUCACAGCUCAACUGUGGGCGUGCGGGCGAUACGGGCAGACUUGAGAACUGCAGGGGAGACUGGAAUUCCUGGUGUAGCGGUGGAAUGCGCAGAUAUCAGGAGGAACACCGGUGGCGAAGGCGGGUCUCUGGGCAGUAACUGACGCUGAGGAGCGAAAGCGUGGGGAGCGAACAGGAUUAGAUACCCUGGUAGUCC
rnacentral:rRNA from 1 species